rnacentral:rRNA from 1 species
CAAUAGCGUAUAUUAAAGUUGUUGCAGUUAAAAAGCUCGCAGUUGGAUUUGUGGCGUACGGUGUGUUCCGGGCACUUGUUGUCUGAGUAACCUGCUGUUGCCAUCCUUGGGUGGAACCUGUGUGGCAUUAGGUUGUCGUGCAGGGGAUGCCCAUCAUUUACUGUGAAAAAAUUAGAGUGUUCAAAGCAGGCUUAUGCCGUUGAAUAUAUUAGCAUGGAAUAAUGAGAUAGGACUUUUUUGCUAUUUUGUUGGUUUGCGCAAAGAGGUAAUGAUUAAUAGGGACAGUUGGGGGUAUUCGUAUUCCAUUGUCAGAGGUGAAAUUCUUGGAUUUUUGGAAGACGAACUACUGCGAAAGCAUUUACCAAGGAUGUUUUCAUUAA